AAAACUUUCAACAACGGAUCUCUUGGCUCUUGCAUCGAUGAAGAACGCAGCGAAAUGCGAUAAGUAAUGUGAAUUGCAGAAUUCAGUGAAUCAUCGAAUCUUUGAACGCACCUUGCGCCUUCUGGUAUUCCGGAAGGCAUGCCUGUUUGAGUGUCAUG
rnacentral:rRNA from 1 species